rnacentral:rRNA from 1 species
UACAGAGGCCUCGAGCGUUUAGGCGGAAUCACUGGGCUUAAAGCGUGUGUAGGUGGAUGCCUAAGUGCCUUGUGAAAUCCCACGGCUUAACCGUGGAAUUGCUGGGCAUACUGGGUGUCUUGAGCCACUCAGGGGCUACCGGAACAAAUGGUGGAGCGGUGAAAUGCGUAGAUAUCAAUUUGGAACGCCAAUGGGUGAAAACAGGGUAGCUGGGGGUGUGCUGACACUGGAGACACGGAAAGCCAGGGGAGCAAACGGG